UCCCAGACUCCUACGGGAGGCAGCAGUGGGGGAUAUUGCACAAUGGGGGAAACCCUGAUGCAGCGACGCCGCGUGAGUGAAGAAGUAUUUCGGUAUGUAAAGCCCUCUCGGCAGGGAAGAAGAAAUGACGGUACCUGAAUAAGAAGCACCGGCUAAAUACGUGCCAGCAGCCGCGGUAAUACGUAUGGUGCAAGCGUUAUCCGGAUUUACUGGGCGUAAAGGGAGCGCAGGCGGCGCGCCAAGUCUGAUGUGAAGCCCCGGGGCUCAACCCCGGGCAUGCAUUGGAAACUGGCGGGCUGGAGUGCCGGAGAGGUAAGCGGAAUUCCCAGUGUAGCGGUGAAAUGCGUAGAUAUUAGGAGGAACACCAGUGGCGAAGGCGGCUUACUGGACGGCAACUGACGCUGAGGCUCGAAAGCGUGGGGAGCAAACAGGAUUAGAUACCCCCCGUAC
rnacentral:rRNA from 1 species